AGCUUUAUGCAGUGUCAGCAUUGUAGCCAAUGAGGUUUAUCCGAAGUGUGAUUAUUGCUAAUUGAAAAUUUUUCCCAAUUUUUAAGGGACCAACUUUUGAUGUUGAUCCUAUUAUAUGUUUGUUUUCUCUUUUAUUAA